rnacentral:rRNA from 1 species
GACGAACGCUGGCGGCGUGCCUAAUACAUGCAAGUAGAACGCACAGUUUAUACCGUAGCUUGCUACACCAUAGACUGUGAGUUGCGAACGGGUGAGUAACGCGUAGGUAACCUGCCUGGUAGCGGGGGAUAACUAUUGGAAACGAUAGCUAAUACCGCAUAAUAUUAAUUAUUGCAUGAUAAUUAAUUGAAAGGUGCAAUUGCACCACUACCAGAUGGACCUGCGUUGUAUUAGCUAGUAGGUGAGGUAACGGCUCACCUAGGCGACGAUACAUAGCCGACCUGAGGGGGGGACGGGCCAACUGGGGACGGGACCACGGCCAAGACUCCUACGGGGGGCAGCAGUAGGGAAUCUUCGGAAAUGGACGAAAGCUUGACCGAGCAAGGCCGGGGGGGGGAAAAAGGUUUUGGGAUCGUAAGGCUCUUUUGUAAGGGAAAAACGGGGGGGAGGGUGGAAAGUUCACACUGGGACGGUAUCCUACCAGAAGGGGACGGCGAACUCGGG